GGAUAACCUACCCUUAGGACCGGGAUAACCCUGGGAAACUGGGGCUAAUACUGGAUAGAUGAUUUUUCCUGCAAUGGUAUUUUGUCUAAAUGUUUUUUCGCCUAAGGAUGGGUCUGCGGCCGAUUAGGUAGUUGGUUAGGUAAUGGCUUACCAAGCCGUUUAUCGGUACGGGUUGUGAGAGCAAGAGCCCGGAGAUGGAACCUGAGACAAGGUUCCAGGCCCUACGGGGCGCAGCAGGCGCGAAACCUCCGCAAUGUGAGAAAUCGCGACGGGGGGAUCCCAAGUGCCAUUCUUAACGGGAUGGCUUUUCUUGAGUGUAAAAAGCUCUUGGAAUAAGAGCUGGGCAAGACCGGUGCCCAGCCCGCCGCGGUAACACCGGCAGCUCUAGUGGUAGCCAUUUUUAUUGGGCCUAAAGCGUUCGUAGCCGGUUUAAUAAGUCUCUGGUGAAAUCCCACAGCUUAACUGUGGGAAUUGCUGGAGAUACUAUUAGACUUGAGGUCGGGAGAGGUUAGAGGUACUCUCAGGGUAGGGGUGAAAUCCUGUAAUCCUGGGAGGACCACCUGUGGCGAAGGCGUCUAACUGGAACGAACCUGACGGUGAGGGACGAAAGCUAGGGGCGCGAACCGGAUUAGAUACCCGGGUAGUCCUAGCCGUAAACGAUGCGGACUUGGUGUUAGGAUGGCUUUGAGCCGCCCUAGUGCCGAAGGGAAGCUGUUAAGUCCGCCGCCUGGGAAGUACGGUCGCAAGACUGAAACU
rnacentral:rRNA from 1 species